rnacentral:tRNA from 1 species
UGUUUUGUGGCUUACUUGGUUAAAGCGUCGAUCUAUCGAAUAUGAAGUCGUGGGUUCAAAUCCCACCAGUACGC